rnacentral:tRNA from 1 species
GCGCUGGUGGUGUAAGGCGAACAUCGCUGCUCGGAAAGCAGAAGAUGCGGGUUUGAGUCCCGCCUGGCGCA